CACCGUGAGCACCAUCAUCACUUGUUACAGGAAAGGAAGGCUGCGCUGUCUGUGCAUCACCUAACAGGAAAGACCUCAGGACAAAGAGCUCAGAACCCUCCAGAAAUCUUUCAGAGAGAAGCUCCAGCUCUCCCUUAUCUCUUUUAAAGUUAACACAUCACACGCUGUACAUGCUCAGUAACAAAGUUCCUAAUGUUGUUUCCCGAUAACCCAGAGGCCCGGGACAGCAAUGCUGUUGCUGUUUCAUAGAGGGCGAGAGCGGGACACUUGCUCCACUGGCUGCCAACAAUCAGCACUUUGGGAACAUCCCACACUAGCGGUUUGCACAGAGAUUAUUGGGUUUCACAGCCACCAAAGCAUGUGUCACCAUGAAUUUGUAUAAUUAUUCCUCAAAUACAGUUACACUUUUGGCUCUGCAAUGCCUCCAAUAUCAGUUGCUGCUGUUUAAUCAGGAGCUGCUUUAAACCUCCUACCUCAUCCUUUCAUUUACAGGAUCCUUUGCUCUAGUAAUAAUAAAGGCAGCUCACAGAGUUGAGCAGAAUGGAUUCUGAUGCUCCAGCUUGCAAAGCCAAAGGGUCUUACAGAGGCAGGAUAACACAAAGUCUGGUAAAAACCCAGGGAGGUACUUUCAGAAGUUCAUUUCCCACUGCAAGCCAGUAACCAGCCACCACUCUUGAAAAAUCCCAUCUUUGUUUGUUGUUUACUGCGUUUCCUGUGAAUGAAUUUCUGGCUCAAAUUAGAGUUGUAAUAAAACUCUAAAAAAAUAUUAUUUUAGAAAAAACUUAGAUCUGUCCUUCCGUCCUGGGGAUUUGUUGCUUGUUCUGCAACAGGAGAUGUGAAUCAUGGAAGUAUCUAUAACAGCAAUAUUAGGAAAUGACCAUUCAGGCACCAGAGAUCUGUAUCAGACAUUAUGCCUUUAAAUAAAUUGUCUGUUACUAUGUUAAUCUAAUCUUGUAAAUACAUGCACACUUAACUAUAUUAAAAAUGUAAAUGCUCCCAGAACUGGACUUCACAUGAUGAACGUGAACUCCCCUUUUUUCCUUGCCAGCUCUGCAGAUCUUGGAAAAACAAGGAUUGUUCAAUUUGAUGGGCAUUAAUAAGGUUGAUGUCUGCACAGAUUUAGCCAAAAGAUUGUCACGAUCAUCUCAGGCCCCACGUGGCUUACAGGCCUGAACUUGAAGAAACAUCUUUCAACAGCCGCUGGUGACGGAGCGAUUCCAGCUCUGGGAGCACCUCCAGCCAACUGACUUGCCUUCUGUGGCACUGAAUUUGCAUUCAUUAAAACCAGAGUUUUAAUGAGUUAUGGAGAUUUAUAAAAAAUGGCAUGCCAGAGUUGCUGACACUCCCAAAGCUUCUGACAGAAGUACAACACACCAUAAACCCUGGUGGGAAAUACUGAAUGAAAACCAGUGCAGGUAUAUCUGCAAGUGUUAACAUGACUCAUAAAAUCAGGGAUUUAGGGAAACUAAAAUUAUUGGUGCACUCCAAACUUGAGGAGAUAGUAAUACAUAUAAUGAGAAUAAUAUAAAAAUGUUAGUAAUAACACUGCCAAUAUGAUUACCAGUCUCCUUGUCAUUGUUUAUUACCAUCACUGCCCUGAUAAUUCUCAGCUCUAAGAAUGGACAGAGGCAGAGAUUCCCUCACGCUUUCAGAAACAAUCUCUGUGCUUUGGGAAACAAAUUCCAGUUUCUCCUAUUCCUUAGAACAGCUACCAAGAUCCUUAGGAUGAGGCCAGUCUGGGAAGACUCUGGAGGAGCCUUCUGCCACUCAAACAGCAAGGUGUGCAUUGGCUCUCACUGAGUGCCGGGGGCUGUGAAACCUGAGUUUAAAACAAACUUCCCCUGGGAUAGGCUCCUUUUCAUUUACAAGUGAAUCAGCAGAGAUGGCAAGGCUGAUUUGCCAUGCCACUGCCCAGCAUCUUUUAAAGAUUUUGUAGGAGACAGGUUGCUUCCAGGUGACCUCUGUGCUGCCUUGCCACACCUUCUUCCUUGGAUACCUUAUCACAGUUGUUAUUAGCUCAUGCAAAUCCACAGCACGAGUUCCUUAUCUUUACAUCUCUCUCACCCAAGAGGUAACCUAUUUUGAGAUGCUGUACGAGGAAUCACCAAUAACUAAGUAAAAAAACUGCUCUGCACCUCUGAGGACAACUUCACCCAAGGCAGGGUGGAUCAAAACAUACGUGGAGAAGUGAGCUGAGCUGAGGAGCAGGGAUGCAUCCCCCUACAGUCAGAGCAAAUGAUGACUGCAGCUCUGCACAGUUGAACAGGAAAUGUGGGGGGAUUCCCCAGCUCGGACACUUUUGACGCAUUGCUUCACCUUUGUGCAUUUGUUUUCCUUUCCACUCUGUUUAUUUAAAAUAUAAAUGGUUUGAAACAGGGCCUUACUCAUCAGUGAUUAUACAGCACCAGCCAAAACAGCGCCCUACCCUUAUUGUGGAGGAAAUGAUCUGUAUAUAAUAAAGCAACAUGAGUGUGUGUACGUGGA